UGGGGAAUAUUGCACAAUGGGCGGAAGCCUGAUGCAGCGACGCCGCGUGGGGGAUGAAGGCCUUCGGGUUGUAAACUCCUUUCGACAGGGACGAAGCUUUUGUGACGGUACCUGUAUAAGAAGCACCGGCUAACUACGUGCCAGCAGCCGCGGUAAUACGUAGGGUGCGAGCGUUGUCCGGAAUUACUGGGCGUAAAGAGCUCGUAGGUGGUUUGUCGCGUCGUCUGUGAAAUUCCGGGGCUUAACUCCGGGCGUGCAGGCGAUACGGGCUGACUUGAGUGCUGUAGGGGAGACUGGAAUUCCUGGUGUAGCGGUGAAAUGCGCAGAGAUAUGGAGGAACACCAGUGGCGAAGGCGACUUUCUGGUCUGUAACUGACGCUGAUGUGCGAAAGCGUGGGGAUCAAACAGG
rnacentral:rRNA from 1 species